UCAGUUACUUGACAGUCGUGAAGAGGGUCUCCAAUGAGUCGAUGUUGGCUGCUCAAGAACAAGUGAAGAGUAACCCUGCAUAUGCUGUGAAUGGAGAGCUACAAAUUGUCAUUUUAAUUUCAUUUUGUCUUUGGCCACAUACUUAUACACCUGCCAUACUCAGAAUAUAUUAUGUAGACUGACACAUACAAAUAUAUAAAAUCUUAUAUCAGAUUGUAAACCUUGAAAAUAUCUGUGAGUAGAGAAAUGUGACCAUUUUUAUGUCAUGAUUUCUACCAUUUCUUCCUACAGUGUGUUAUAACAGAUGCAAGGCAUGAUUCCAGUCAAUCAGCAGCACACACAACAGUGUCAGCCCUUUCUUUCUGGACCAAAAAGGUGUUAGCAGUUGUCAACUGGAGUAGGGCCAAUGAAACUUCAGCAGUAAGCCGUGAGGUCCCUAUGACAAAAGAGCUGCUGACUUAUCUCUCUGAGACACAAGGUGCAAAGUCUGUGACAAAAGUAAUGAAGGAAGUUGCCUCAGGGGCCCAGAGGGAUGAGGGCUCAAAGUAGUUUUUUGAAUUGUUCGACAAAGCAAAAAGUACAAGGACUCUUGUGUACUCCUGCAUGAAGAACAGUCCACCCAAUGAAGAAGAAUUUCAGGGUACACUGUUGAAUGUAGUUGACCAUUACCAGGGAAAUCAUGUCAGAUGCCAUGCAGAGUCACGGUGCAAGCAGAAUGGCUAUGUGAUGAGCAAAAAACUUUUAACUAAACCUGAAGUAGUAGCUGCAUGCUUAUGUUGUUAAUUCUGCACAAUUACUUUGGCACUUUUUGGAUUCACUGCCUUCUCUUGCUCAUUGACUCAUUUGUCUUACAGAAUGAAAAUGUGAAUCGAGAAGCAUCGUCUCUACAGAUGCACCAACAUACCAGGCAUCCAAACCGCCUGGCAGAGACCAAGGUGCUUACUUCAAUUUAAUUUCAGAGAAACUAUCUGGUCUACCUUUUUUAAUAUAAACAAAUGAUGUCUCUUUUGUUUUCCAUUGCACCACAGUUUCUGAGAUAAUUACAACUAGGAGCCCAAAUGUUCAGUAUUAAUAUGUGAGGUCAUUAGAGAGGACCAAUUCUAACAACUGCUGGUACCAAGCAAUGAAAACAUUAAUAUUAGGUUUGACACAAGGAAUUUCCAAGCAGACUCAUUCUCUGUUUCCUCCUGUUACUUUUCUUUGCACUGUAUAUCUUUUCCUAACCUAUAGGAAAGUCACUAUAAUUUGCUGUGUGGACAUUGUAAAUGGACCAUAAAAAAUAUUGAGUACUUGGGCUCUCUUUGAGGUGGGCAUUUGUAUGAGAAUUUUAUUAUUCCCUUUUAUGCCCCAUAUAGGCAAUACCAGGAGGGUUAAGAAAUCUUGACCUCACAUCUUUUAUAACACAAUUGGGCAUCCUUUCCCGCACUGCAUUAACGUGGUCCCCCAGUUCGACUGUCGGAAAUGAGACUAAAGAAUCUGCUAUGUUCCGAAACUUCACGUUUUAUUUUAUAAAAUCAACUUAACCUCCCUCUCUCUCUCACCGUUCUCUGUCUCACGCUCUGGUCUCUCUCAUUUUAAAUAUAUAAUAUGAUCCUAUUGUUCAAUCAUCUGUCACUUAUCGCAAAAAGUCAACCGGAAAUCAAUUAACGCUGAAUAAUCUCUCACACGACUUUUCUAGCCUGGUAAAGAGGGUCUUUCCAGAGCCCACAUUUGUUCAAUGCU